AUGAAUCCCAAAAGAAAUUCUGCUUCACACAAAAACAUGUCUGUUCAAAAAGAAAAUCAUUAUAAAAGUUCAAAUGAUAUGGUUCCUAUGUCCAGAUACGACAAAGAAGUCACUGAAUACCCAGAGAAAAGAAACUUUACAGAAAAUCCUGAAGAAACUGUAGAGUCAUCAAACACUAAUAUUUUUACGGCUGGGGAAGUUUCAACCCUCACUCAGGUUUUUCAUGUAUUACUAGAGAAAGAAAAUUAUUUGACUCAAUUUGGUGAAGGUACAUUAGCAAAGUUCUAUGCACAUAUCAUGGAGAACACUGGUGUCAACUUAGAAUCAUCUUUUGUCAAAGACCAAGGUCUUUAUGUGACAGUGUUUGGCAACCCAGAAGCUGUCACAAACGCUGAGAAUGAAAUUUUUAAAUGGUGUCAAGAACAAUAUUUACCCUUAACUCUCAUUUCCAAACAAGAACAUUGCUUUUUUCUAGACCAGACUGGAGAUAAAUCACAAGAUUUGGAGCAAGAUGCUGAAAUAAAUACUCAGAUCAUAAGUCCACCUAAUCAGAGUAAAAUUAUAAACACUGUUGAUGCAAAUCGUACAAAGAUGAAGUCUUCAGAUGGAAGCCUAUCUACAUCUGCCAGAAGUAGUAAGAAUGAUAUCCAGAUACUAGAAAUGGAGAAAACAUUUAAUCCCCUGACUGCUAAACCAUACCUUCAAGCAAGUGACAUUUUUCAAGAAACAGAGGAGCAUGUCCCUUUUCAACUCUCUAGUGCCAAGGAGACAGAUGUAGAUAUUAAUGAAAGACAACUGCAUGUGGAUCAGACAGGUUGUCGUAAAAAUGAUAUCAUUGAGACCAGUACUGUAACUGAGGGUAUGAUGAUGAAGUUUCAAGGCAACUGUACCAGAACUGUCAAAAGAAAUUUUCUGGAAGAGAUCCUAGAAACAAGUGAAGAUUCAACUGAACAAUCACAGUCAGAAAGCCUAUCAGAUUCUAUGACACAACACAGUGAUCCUGACAGUUCUGAGGAGGUAUUUAAUGAAGCUGAUGUCAAUGAUGAUGAUUAUAUUGUUUCUUCGAUCUUUGCUCCUUCUUGGUUGCACAGGUUCAUUAUUGGUAAGAAAGGUGAGAAAAUAGCUGAGAUAACAGAGUGUGUACCAAAGGUUCAAAUACACUUUACAGCAAAAGAUAAAAUAACACUGAAAGGACCAGCAGAUGAUGUAAAUUAUGCUCAAGAAAAAUUUGACAUCAUUGUCAAGGACCUAAUGAGCAAAAUGGAAUAUACUGAGAUAAACACUGACAGUAAAUUUCACAAGUACCUGACAGGGAAUAAUGGGGAGAUCCUAAAUAGAAUUACAGAGAAGACCCAAGUCUCUAUCACAAUGUUUCCUGAAAAUGAAUCGAACCACUCAAUCCGAAUUGAAGGAGAAUCUCUGGGUGUCCACCAGGCCAAAAAAGAACUGCUUGAUCUAGCAAAUAACUUGGAAGAAGAUUACAGCCAGGACAUAAUCAUCAAACACCAAUUUCACCACAUACUUAUUGGGCAAAAAGGUGAAAGGGUUCGUGAAAUUUGUAAGAAAUUCCCUGAUGUUAUCCUCAAUUUUCCACAUCCAGCAGAGAAGAGUGAUAUUGUUCAACUGAUAGGGCCAAGAUAUGAAUCAGAAAAGUGUGCACAAUAUUUGGAGAAUAUGUUGACAGAUAUUAAAGAAAAUAACUAUUCUAUAAGCAUUUCUAUAACAAAAAAGCUUCACAAAAGAAUAAUUGGAAAAGGAGCAUCAAACAUUAAAAAAAUCUCUGAAACAACCAACACCCAAAUUAGUUUUCCACCAGAAAACUGCAAUUCAGAAGAGUUUAUCAUUACUGGAUAUCCAGAAAAUUGUGAAAUUGCACGUAACUGGAUUCUUUCAAUUCUGCAAGAGAUAGCUGAUACUGCAGAAGAGGAAAUUACCAUUUCUGCUAACCUAUACAAAUGCCUGACUAAUCCCAAAGAAUCUUUGUUAAAUUCAAUCAUAGAAGAAUGUGGAAAGAUCCACCUACAUUUUCCAAAAUCCAAGUCAAACCAGAAUAAAGUCAUUAUCAUGGGCUCUGUUGAAAGUGUUGAAAAGGCCAAAGCUAAGCUUCUAAAACUUGCAGAAGAAGAACAAGCUAAGAAUUACUCUGAGACUCUCCGUGUCAAAUCACAAUAUCAUCAAUUCCUACUGAACAAAAAUGGAGGUAAUAUUUCCAAAAUCUGUGAUGAUACUGGGACAUGUGUUCUUUUCCGUAACCCUACGAAUAAGGACCAAGAAUCCAUAACAAUUACAGGGACUGAGGAGUCUGUUAAAGAGGUGCAAAGACAACUAGAGGAUUUAGUUAAAGACUUAGAGAAUGAGGUAGACGAUUCCAUACUAAUAAGCCGUAAAUUUCAUCAUUAUUUUGUCAUGCGGAGGGGCCAGCUUUUAAAAGAAAUGGCAGAAGAGUAUGGUGGUGUCAGUAUUACAUUCUCUUAUGCAGGGAGACAGAAUACAAAAGUCACAAUAAAAGGCGCGAAACCUUGCGUUGAGGCAGCGAAGAAACACAUUAAGGAGAUUUUUGAGCCUUUGGGCUCCCAAGUUACAACACGGUAUGUUAUACCCCAGAAUUUCCAACCUUUUUUCAUGGGACCAAUAAGUUCACGAAUCCAACAAAUUGCUAGGGAUUAUAAAGUUGAAAUAAAAUUUUCAGAUGUAGAGAAACCAGUCCUAAAUAUGGAUCUAGGUACUCAGGAAAAAGGAAAAGAAAAGUGGAAAAAGACUACUAAAGAUCUUGCUCCUAAUUCUCCAAGGAAAAGUGAUACCAUAUUCAUUUCUGGCCAAGUGGAAAAUUGCAAGGCAGCUACUGAAGCUCUAGCAUCUAUAAUUCCCGUCACUGCUGAAGUUCAUGUGCCCCUUCACCUACAUCCUUACAUCAUUGGGCACAAGGGAAGUGGUUUACGAAAACUAGUAAAGGAAUUUGAAGUUCAUAUGCAGAUACCACAACCUGGAAAAAAUUCUGAUAUUAUAUCUAUUAUGGGCCUUGCAGCAAAUGUGGAACAAGCCAAGAUGAAAUUACAAAAGCGAGUCAAGGCUUUACAAAUGGAAAUAGAAGAUCGGACACUAAGAAAUUUUAAAUUAAUGUUCAAUCUAGAUCCUAAACAUCGAGCCAAGAUCACUGGUCAUAAGGGCUUGCUUAUUACACAAAUUUGCACAGAACAUGAUGUUACUGUCCGUUUUCCAAAGAAAGGAAGCCAUGAGAUGCAAGAUCAAAUCACUAUUACUGGGUAUAAGGAGAACACUCUAGCUGCUCGAGAUGCAAUAAUGAGAGUGUUACACAAAAUUGAAAAAACAAUUUCUAAGGAAAUCACACUUAACCAGCAGGUUCGUAGCAAUGUUAUUGGAUUCCGUGGAAAAACCAUCAAUAAAAUCAUGGAUCAAUACCAAGUAGAUGUAUGUUUACCUCCAAAAGGGUCCUAUAAUCCUAAUAUCACAGUGACUGGUCUCCCUGAUAAUGUAGAAAAAGCAAUUGAACAUAUUCUUAAUCUUGAAAAAUAUUAUCUGUCAGCUGUUGUAAGCCAUGGAUCUCAACAAGAACAAAUUAAAAGUAUGUCCCUUUGCAAUAUAGCCAUGACACCAUCCAAGAGUUUUGUGAGAAAGUAUGUUCCCUGUUAUGCUAAAACAAGCACAAAGCUCCCAGAUGUAGAUAGUUGUGAACACUUUCCAAGAUUAAAACAGCGAAUACCUUCAAAGACUCAUCCUGCAAAAUUGUGA